AAAAAAGAUCCCGAGCCCUCGUGCAGCUGAGGCAGUGCCACAUGCUCCUGUCCUGCAGAUGGGAACAGCCAUGGCCAUUGCUAAAAAUAGUGAACCACUCCCCAGACGAACCGAGCCAGCCUGGACAGAACUGUAAUGGGCCAAUAAAGCACCUUAAACCUUCAUGCAAAUGAAGGAUCCCAACAGAAACCAAUCCAAAGGAACAAGAACAGGAUAAAAAGGGGGCAUCCGUGUCGCUAUUGGACACGAAAUGAGCACACAGAAGCUUGGUAAGUUCAAGAGAGAAAAAAGAGCUAAUUUUAUUUCUGACCUUGCAGUAUAUAGAAUUCCAAAAGCGACAGUGGAUUGGGGGAUGAAAUUGUCACCUCUCCAACCACACUGGUCAAACCAACAUCCAUCAAUUCUCUCCCUCCACAAAGAAGAACGCAAAACAAUCAUUAUUUACCUGAACAGUGCGUGAGAACUCCAGUAGAAAUAUGUAAACAUCAGAAGGCAUGGAAAACUUUUAAAAGAGCUUUAAAACUUUCAGAAGAGCUAUAAAAGAAAACUUAACACUUUUAAAAGUCAGGGCAACACAUCCGAGCCAGUGAAUCCGUGCCGCUCCACCUGGAACAUCGGGGGCAUUGCUGCUCAAGAAAGGAAGGAGAUCCAGCGCUGUCGCUGCAGCAUCCUCGACAGGAAUGCUCCUGCUCCACUCGCAGAGCCCCUUGCUUUAGGCCUUGUUACAAUAAAUGCUGAAUUCAUUUAGUA